CAUCGAUGGGAUGAUGAAGUUGGUGCUGAUGAGAGUGGUGCUGAUGAGACCUGGAGUCCCUCAAAGAAAUCCCAGCUGAUGGCCGCAUGGACUCGCCAGGAUACUCUGGACAGUAUAUUGCACAUACACUAUAUUGGAGAAUGAUUGCAGUGAAAUCGACAAGAAGGAGACCCAGAGAAACUGUCACCAUGGAUUAGGACCAUGGAUCAACUGAUUACAGAGAUCCCGCUAAAAUAGAUCUGCACAGAUGCACAUUCUCAGAUUUCUGCUUUAAGGAGACCUGUGGCGAGGUGUUAUUCACCAUGUGGGGAAUGAAAACACAUGGACACUGGGACAUUUCGAAAAUGACUGCCUAGGGGACAACUUCACUAAGGAAUGGAUAAAAAAGGGUUAGGCUCAUCAGGUAUAUUGGUCACAGAGGAGAGGGUUGGGAAUCCUGGUAUUAGGGUUAUGUUUGACAUGUACACAUCCAAAGGAGGAUUACACAUUUGUUGAUUUCAUGAUGCAUUCAUUAUGACUUGUCUGUGUUCAAACUUUUUUUACAGAUCAACAGCUGAUUCGAACUGCUCGAUUCGGUCUUAUGUAGCAACAUUUGAAUUUUUUUACAUUAGAUAAAAGUAGAGACUCAGAGCUAGAAAAUGGUAUAUCAUACACUACAGUUGAGGAACAAUGGGAAAGUGAUUCUGCUUUGAAAGUUGAUAAACUUGUAACCCCA